rnacentral:rRNA from 1 species
UAUAUUGGAUAAUGGGCGAAAGCCUGAUCCAGCCAUGUUGCUUGUGUGAAGAAUGACUUCGUAUUGUAAAGUAUGUCAUUUUGCGUGUAAGGGCUUUAUGCUAAUACCCUGACGUUUUUACGCUAUCAUCAGUAUAAUCAGCGUCUAACUUUGUGCUAGCAGCCGCGGUAAUACGAAGGGUGCAAGCGUUAAUCGGAAUUACUGGGCGUAAAGCGCGCAGAGGUGGUUUGUUAAGUUGGAAGUGAAAGCCCCGGGCUCAACCUGAGAACUGCUUUCAAAACUGGCAAGCUAGAGUAUGGCAGAGGGUGGUGAAAUUUCCUGUGUAGCGGUGAAAUGCGUAGAUAUAGGAAAGAACACCAGUGGCGAAGGCGACCACCUGGGCUAAUACUGACACUGAGGUGCGAAAGCGUGGGAAGCAAAC